UACGUAGGGUGCAAGCGUUGUCCGGAAUCAUUGGGCGUAAAGCGCGUGUAGGCGGUUCAGUAAGUCUGCUGUGAAAGUCCAGGGCUCAACCCUGGGAUGCCGGUGGAUACUGCCGGACUAGAGUGCGGAAGAGGCGAGUGGAAUUCCCGGUGUAGCGGUGAAAUGCGCAGAUAUCGGGAGGAACACCAAUUGCGAAGGCAGCUCGCUGGGACGUUACUGACGCUGAGGAGCGAAAGCGUGGGGAGCGAACAGG
rnacentral:rRNA from 1 species